rnacentral:rRNA from 1 species
AUACGUAGGUGGCAAGCGUUGUCCGGAUUUACUGGGCGUAAAGGGAGCGCAGGUGGCUCAUCAAGUCUAGGGUGAAAUAUCCCGGCUCAACCGGGAGGAGUCUCUAGAUACUGAUGGGCUUGAGGAAAGCAGAGGAAAGCGGAAUUCCCGGUGUAGCGGUGAUAUGCGUAGAUAUCGGGAGGAACACCAGUGGCGAAGGCGGCUUUCUGGGCUUUUCCUGACGCUGAGGCUCGAAAGCGUGGGGAGCAAACAGGAUUAGAAACCCGAGUAGUCC